rnacentral:rRNA from 1 species
UACGGAGGGGGCUAGCGUUGUUCGGAAUUACUGGGCGUAAAGCGCACGUAGGCGGCUUUGUAAGUUAGAGGUGAAAGCCCGGGGCUCAACUCCGGAAUUGCCUUUAAGACUGCAUCGCUAGAAUUGUGGAGAGGUAAGUGGAAUUCCGAGUGUAGAGGUGAAAUUCGUAGAUAUUCGGAAGAACACCAGUAGCGAAGGCGGCUCACUGGACUGGUAUUGACGGCGUGAGGUGCGAAAGCGUGGGGAG